GACGAACGCUGGCGGCGUGCUUAACACAUGCAAGUCGAACGCUGAAACCAGAGCUUGCUUUGGUGGAUGAGUGGCGAACGGGUGAGUAACACGUGGGUGAUCUGCCCUACACUUUGGGAUAAGCCUGGGAAACUGGGUCUAAUACCGAAUAUUCACACCACCGUAGGGGUGGUGUGGAAAGCUUUAUGCGGUGUGGGAUGAGCCUGCGGCCUAUCAGCUUGUUGGUGGGGUAAUGGCCUACCAAGGCGUCGACGGGUAGCCGGCCUGAGAGGGUGUACGGCCACAUUGGGACUGAGACACGGCCCAGACUCCUACGGGGGUCAGCAGUGGGGAAUAUUGCACAAUGGGCGCAAGCCUGAUGCAGCGACGCCGCGUGGGGGAUGACGGCCUUCGGGUUGUAAACUCCUUUCGCUAGGGACGAAGCCUUAUGGUGACGGUACCUGGAGAAGAAGCACCGGCUAACUACGUGCCAGCCGCCGCGGUAAAAC
rnacentral:rRNA from 1 species